CAGGUUUAAUGAGAAAUUAAAUGCGAAUUAGCUAGGGUUUUGAGUAAUUAUGGCCUUAACUGAACAACAAUUGUACCAUUUGUUGGAUUUAUUACUUUAACUGUCUUUUAGGUUGACAAUGCAGGAGAUGCAGAAUCUCUUAUGAUGCUGGCUAAGGACAUAGUAAGCUGUGAAUACACCGCCCCUAUCAAAAUGGACAACAAAGAAACCAUAAGCCACCUGAUGAUGACUUCAUCAUGAUAAAUUGCCACCCACAUUGCAGUGAAAAGGGAACAUGAAAGGAAGAUUAUUAACUUUCUGCAAGAUUUCUUGGAGGAGGUUGAAAUAUCAGAUUGAGAAGCGCCAAGUGCAACAGCUGAAGUGUCGGAGUCUCUUGCCGCCGAGGAUG